GCUGCUGCUAUUACUAUAACAUGGGCGCCAGUUUGUUUAUCUAGCUACCUGAACUCAAGAAAUGUCAAGGAAAGGUAUUUUCCAAUUUUAUUCAUUAGUAUGUUAACAAAUAUCUUUGAACAAUUAGUACCGAAAUCAAAUCAGUUGGAGAGGGAUAAACAAAAAUUAGCUGAGAAUUUAAUGUGUGUGUGUGUGGGGGGGAGGUGUAUAGGGGUUUACAGGACCGUAUUUUCCCACACCACUUGUGGCUUGAAUUGUUGGAAUGCCAUUGCUAAUCACUUUUAAUUAGGUCAGUGAAAAACAGGUAAGGCCAGCAGUUGGUGGGGGCCAGGCAGAUAAUACCCUAGCGAGAAAAAUGGCUUCGUUAUUGAACGGAGCUGGCUUUCACUAGUGGUUUCCCUAACUUAGCUUGAACAAGUCCUUUCGCCUUCCUGGGAUUACGUUUCGAAUUCGUGGGGUGGGAGGAGGAGGAGUUGGAGAGACUGACUUCUCUCUCAGCCACUCAAGCGUUUUCUUCGGGUCCUCUUCAAGUUGAUUAUGUGACCUUUUAGCCAGCCUACUGCGCAUGCCCAUAAGAGGUGCCCUCUGGUUACGGCCCCACUUUCUCCUCAUCUGCGCACGCGCCCUUACCCCCCAAUCGCUGUUAGAGUGAGGCAGGACUUCCUGUCCUCUUUAGAGCGAAUGCCGGACGUGACUGCGGACGAAUCGGCGUUUGCUGUGGCUGGAAGAGUUUAACUUGUCUGCACUGUAGCUCUUUUUGGCGCGAAAGAUGCCGGGUGUGGCUGCUGCAAGCCCUGCCCCGUCUGAGUCCCAGGAGAAGAAGCCGUUGAAGCCCUGCUGCGCCUGCCCGGAGACCAAGAAGGCGCGCGAUGCGUGUAUCAUUGAGAAAGGAGAAGAGCACUGUGGACAUCUAAUUGAGGCCCACAAGGAGUGCAUGAGAGCCCUUGGAUUUAAGAUUUGAGAUGGUGCGCUGCUGUAUGAAUAAGUAAUUCCUGAAGAAUGAAGAUGACUAAAUUAUUUUGGGAGUUCUUUGAUGAACUUUGAUAAGUGGAAAAAGUAUUUAUAAUUUAUUAAAAAAAAGGAAAAUAUCCCUGGUCAACGAUCUUCAGGUGUGUUUUUUCUGUGUUCCUCACAUGCAUGGAUAUAUGUCAACAAAACUUGUAACAUAAGUUUCUUAUGUUCUUGUUACUGUGCCAUUCUGGGAACUCUGGAUAUUUGUUGUUAGGAGAAAGCAGGGACUGAUCGCAGCCAAUGAAAUCUCCAAAAUUAGGUACAUGAAGUAAGAAUAAGUAACCCUUUACCAGUUCAGAGUCAGUGUGGUAACCAUAUCAUCUCAUUCAACAUUCAUUUUUUUAAUUUUAAACUUUCUUAAAGGCAAGAACUGUCAUUAUUCUUUAUUAGCUGUCUUUGGAAAAGUUAGUUUAGAUUUUGGACCAAAUUAGGGUGAUUUGGCUUGGAAGGACUCCACUGUUUGGCGUUGUUAAUCUGUGCAUGGCUAGUUACAUUUUAGGAUAGGCUAGAAUUGUAAGUUUAGUGCCUAGGGGACAGACAGUUGUCUGUUAUUAAUUAGAAGCUGGCCCAGGCUAGAGGCUGAAUUAGUACAAAUAAGUCACUAAUCAAACAACUCAAUACUAUGCCAUAGUGACACCUGGAAUAGAACAGGGAGUAUGGUUCACUUAGUAUAGUAACCUCGUGGUACUCAUGAGUUAGUUAUAGGCUAAUGAAGCAAUUGAUCAUAUUCUACCUUUAAAUACAUUGAAUUUAAAGUCUCAAGAACAAAAGAUACUGAGGAACAUAACUAAGAGGAUAUGUAAUGUUGAUGUGUCAUUGUGUGAUGGGAAAAAUGCCUCUCUAUAAAAUAAAGGAGCUGAAUUAAA